UUAUGGCCAUAUCACGUUGAACCAUCAGCUCCCAUAAGAUCACUGAAUUUAAGCAAUGUUCAGCCUAGUCUGUACCUAGAUGGGUGACUGCUUGGGAAUACCAGGUAUUGCAAG